AUACAUAUAUAUAAAUAUAUGUAUAAGUAUAUAUAUUGUUGCCAUAUGCAAUAUCUUGCAGACGUUGCAAAAAAUGUCGCAAUGAUCGGCGAAAACACAUACUGACGUUUAACAACGUUACUGCAAAAAACUUUAGAAAUGAGGUGUCACUGUGACCAUCGGUACAAUGAAAACCGAUAAGCCAAGCAAAUUGGCAUCCAUUCAUAUACAUAAGCGCCCAGCAGUAACCAGUUCGAUAACCAGUUCGCUAACCAGUUCACUAACCAGUCUGCUAACCAAUUUGCCAACCACUUCACGAACCAAUCAAGCGCAUGCUGCUGCAGAAAUAUUGCAAAUACACAAAAACACAUAUACACACACGCACAUAAUUUGCUGUGUUGCAAGGUGGCAGCUCAAUUAUCAAGCAACAAAAAAAUCAUAAAUAAAACAAACUAUUCUACUGAAAGUACACACAUAGCAAAUAACGAGGCGACCAAACGUCAUUGGAGCGCACUAAAAAGUACACAAAAACACGGACCGAGGUUAAUGUCCUUUGGCACGUGUGCUGUGUGCAACAAGAAGAAGAAGAAGCAGAAUAAAAGAGUGGAAGGCGAUUGUCGG